AGUAAAGGUCAGGGAGUUAGAUGCCUGUGAAUAAAUCUGGCUGGGCCUCCAACAGUAGUCUGAUUUGGGAAUAUGGGCCUUCACUUUGGAAUUAUAACAGAAGAUAUUGAAAUGCUACCAUAAACUGUUUCUCCUCUGUGAUGCCAUUCUGCCACAGCACCUUGCCUUAGAGCCAGCUGAUGAUGGACUAAAACCUCUACAACUGUGAGCCAAAAUAAACCUUUCCUCCUUUAACUUUGAGUAUUGGAUAUUUUGUUUCAAGAAGAAGAAAUUAACCAAGAUGGACUGUUUAGAAUCUUUUAAUUUCAGGCCCUGCUACCAAGCUGUUUCUGCAUUUGAGCCUGCCUAUCAAAGACUGAAACUUCUCAAAUGGUGCAAUAAAAUCAACCUCUCCUCUUCUAAGUGAUGAGUGUUGGGUACUGUGUUUCAG
rnacentral:lncRNA from 1 species